UUUACUCUCCCUUUUACUAGCUCCUUUCUUUCAUACUGUAAUGCAUGUUUCACGAAAGCGCAAACUAUUCUGAUGGCUACCAUAGCAGUAGCACCAGGCGAACAGUCAUCUCUUGUCAAUCUGAAAGCAACGCACCACCACCUCUUGUCAUCAAGUCAUCAGGAUUGUUAAUGCAUGCGGUCCUGUAACAAACUACAAGUACGCCUUGUUCUUCUCCCUUUCUUAAUAAGACGCCAUGCCUUCACUUCUCUCUUAUGUCCAAAUUUGAGCCUCUCUGGAACAACCAAAACAGAGAGAGAGUGCUCCCUCUGUAAACAAAUGAAGGACGUUUUUACAGUUUGAAUUGUAUAUACUGCAAAAACGGCUUACGUUUGUGUACAGAGGUAGUAGUAACAUUUAUGCAUGCGUGUAUAAAUUGUCGUUGCCGGACAAGAAUCGAAUGCGCAAAGCAAACUAGGCUCUAGCAAUGGCAUGCAUGUCAAACUCCGCAGCGACUAAUGUAAGUAGCAAGUUUCUGGAAGAAAUUCAGUUAAGGUCGGCCAUAGGCCUAAACACAGUUCCUUCCUCAGACAUACAGACAUGGAAAAAAAGGCAUCAGUUAAUGUUUACCUUAUUGAGCUUGACACCAAAGAGCAAGAGCACACUUGCGUAAAGUAAAGACCAAAAGCUAGCUGCCGACCUGACCACGCCUUGGCCCGCUUUACUUUCUUCCGUGGGAAACAUUACAUCAUUCAUAUAGUGACAUAGAUGCCAUGGCCUUGUGCUGACUUCAGGAAAUGAGCAGCAGCGCAACCAGACUAGGAUGCCGUCCAAACCUAGUCCGGUUGCAUACAAAUUCUACAGAUUUCAUACAGACGGGGUAGGGACAGGCGCACGAUCCUGGUGCACACAACAUACCGAUAUCACGAGCAAAAUUCAGGGAUAUAAUAAAAUCUGGAAGACGAAGAAACCGUAUGCCAGCUCAAA
rnacentral:lncRNA from 1 species